rnacentral:tRNA from 3 species
AGGCACGUAGCUCAGGGGGAGAGCGCUACCUUGACACGGUAGAAGUCGUUGGUUCAAAUCCAAUCGUGCCUACCA